CCGGAGGAUCCAAGCGUUAUCCGGAAUCAUUGGGUUUAAAGGUCCGUAGGCGGUUUAGUAAGUCAGUGGUGAAAGCCCAUCGCUCAACGGUGGAACGGCCAUUGAUACUGCUAAACUUGAAUUAUUAGGAAGUAACUAGAAUAUGUAGUGUAGCGGUGAAAUGCUUAGAGAUUACAUGGAAUACCAAUUGCGAAGGCAGGUUACUACUAAUGGAUUGACGCUGAUGGACGAAAGCGUGGGUAGCGAACAGGAUUAGAUACCCUGGUAGUCCACGCCGUAAACGAUGGAUACUAGCUGUUGGGGGCAACUUCAGUGGCUAAGCGAAAGUGAUAAGUAUCCCACCUGGGGAGUACGGGCGCAAGCCUG
rnacentral:rRNA from 1 species